GACGAACGCUGGCGGCGUGCCUAAUACAUGCAAGUAGAACGCAGUUGCGAACGGGUGAGUAACGCGUAGGUAACUGCCUCAUAGCGGGGGGUAACUAUUGGAAACGAUAGCUAAUACCGCAUACUGUGAGCUGGACCUGCGUUGUAUUAGCUAGUUGGUGAGGUGAAGGCUCACCAAGGCGACGAUACAUAGCCGACCUGGGAGGGGGGUCGGCCACCACGGGACUGGGACAAGGCCCAAGCUCCCACGGGAGGCAAGAGGAGGGGAAUAUUGGAAAAUGGCGGAAGGCUGACCGAGCAACGCCGCCUGAGUGAAGAAGGGUUUCGGAGCGGAAAGCUCUGUUGUGAGAGAAGCGGUAACGAACCAGAAAGGGACGGCUAACUACGUGCCAGCAGCCGCGGUAAUUC
rnacentral:rRNA from 1 species